UGGGGAAUAUUGGACAAUGGGCGAAAGCCUGAUCCAGCCAUGCCGCGUGUGUGAAGAAGGUCUUCGGAUUGUAAAGCACUUUAAGUUGGGAGGAAGGGCAGUAAGCGAAUACCUUGCUGUCUUGACGUUACCGACAGAAUAAGCACCGGCUAACUCUGUGCCAGCAGCCGCGGUAAUACGGAGGGUGCAAGCGUUAAUCGGAAUUACUGGGCGUAAAGCGCGCGUAGGUGGUUCGUUAAGUUGAAUGUGAAAGCCCCGGGCUCAACCUGGGAACUGCAUCCAAAACUGGCGAGCUGGAGUAGGGCAGAGGGUGGUGGAAUUUCCUGUGUAGCGGUGAAAUGCGUAGAUAUAGGAAGGAACACCAGUGGCGAAGGCGACCACCUGGGCUCAUACUGACACUGAGGUGCGAAAGCGUGGGGAGCAAACAGG
rnacentral:rRNA from 1 species